rnacentral:rRNA from 1 species
CAGGAGCGACGGCAGGAUGAAGGACAGUCUGAAGGGCUUUCCCAACGAGCCGAGAGGUAGUGCAUGGCCGUCGUCAGCUCGUGCCGUGAGGUGUCUUGUUAAGUCAAGCAACGAGCGAGACCUGUGCCUACAAUUGCUAGCGGGUCCCACGGGAUGACUGUGCACAUUGUAGGAACUGCCCUCGAAAGGGGGAGGAAGGUGCAGGCAACGGUAGGUCUGUAUGCUCCGAAUCUUCUGGGCAACACGCGCGCAACAAUGAUAGGGACAAUGUGAUGCGACUCCGAAAGGAGAAGCUAAUCCUCGAAACCCUAUCCCAGUGCAGAUCGAGGGCUGUAACUCGCCCUCGUGACGUCGGAAUCCCUAGUAAUCGGGUGUUAGCAUCGCCCGGUGAAUAUGUCCCUGCUCCUUGCACACACCGCCCGUCAAACCACCCGAGCAGGGUUUAGAUGAGGUCCCAUUUUCAAUGGGCUCGAAUCUAAGCUCAGCGAGGAGGGUUAAGUCGUCACAAGGUAGCCGUAGGGGAACCUGCGGCUGGAUCACCUCCUU